UGGUGGGUUGCCUUGUCAGGUUGAUUCCGGUAACGAACGAGACCUCCGCCUGCUAAAUAGUCACGGUUGGGUUCCCAGCCGGCGGACUUCUUAGAGGGACUAUUGGCGAUUAGCCAGUGGAAGUUGGAGGCAAUAACA
rnacentral:rRNA from 1 species